rnacentral:lncRNA from 10 species
AUUCAUUAACCCGGUUCACGCUCCGGCCCCGGCGGAGGGGAGGGGCGCGCCGGGCGGCGGCGCUGGCGGUGGCCGGGUGACCGGCGGGCGCAGGUGCCACCGCGGCCUGAAUUUUACUCUCUCGGGCCGGCAGCUGCGCCACUUGCGCCUCGUCGCGCGUCUGGGGCAGCCGCCACCGGCUUGCCCCAGCUUUAGGCAAAUCCUUUUGAAAGACCCUGAGGGAGAAGAAACGCCUCCCUCUGGGUAGGAGAACCUGUAGCGUCUGCUGUUCGUCGCGUGUCCAGUUGCUCAGCCGGGAGCUCCGGCAUCUUCAGGGCGCUUAUUCCACUCUCCGGGUUUUGGCUGCAGCUCUGAGGGGAGCGAGCUAGAAACUGACAGAACGCGACCCUCCCCCUCCGCGCCCACCGGAGCCCGGGCUGAGAGGGACCUGGGGAGCUGCGGCCUGGCCGGGGCGGCGCACUCAGGUGGCCUCGCUUCCCUGCGGGUCACCGCCCGCCACUCGCACAGCUAGGGAGUCGAAAGCGGCAUCUUCUCCGAGAGAAGUCGCCUACUGGGGGGUGGCGCUGGGGAGGUAACAAUGGGCGCCCAUUGUCCUCCGAGGGUCCAACGGUGACCCCCCCCCGCGCGCGCGCCCGGCCACCGGUUGGCCCCGGGCCAGGGCACAGGUACCGCGGCUGGGAGGGUCGGCCCCGCUGCCCGCGCCCUCCGCCCCGCCCCAGUGAGUCCCCGCGCCGCCGGCCCCGCCCCGCGCCGCCCCGCCCUCCGCAGGUUCAGUCCUCGCGUCCGGCCGCCCCGCGCUCAGUCGCGCGCACCUUCUCUCGCGGCCGGGGGACCGCAGCGCGGGGCUAGCCCGGAGACCCGGCCACCGGCCUGGGGCGCCUUCACGCCGUCUCGGAGCGGAUAAUGCGGUGAGCAGGCACCACGCCGGCAGACUCGGCUGGAUCUGCGCACAGCGGCAGGGAUUGCGUGCGCCCGCGGGAGGCCCGGGGCAGCGGCUGGGAUCCUCAGCGGCGGCCGGUUUGUCCUGGUUGUGGUCAAGACUGGAUGAUGUAACUGGCUCUCUAGGAAGCCUCACUUGGCCGUAACCUCAGGAAGGUUCUCUUUGACCCCAUCUCAUUUCGAAGCCACUUCUGAAGCCACUUGAGAAAAAUGAUGUGACAGUUCCUAUCAAAAAGGAUUCAGAAACAUAUACCAUCUGUGAAGAAAGUGGCCCUUUCUCCCGCUUGCAAAAUAGACAUUCUCAAAUUCCAAAAUGCCAGCCAAGACCCCAAUUUACCUGAAAGCAGCCAAUAAC